GACGAACGCUGGCGGCGUGCUUAACACAUGCAAGUCGAACGGAAAGGCCCUGCUUUUGUGGGGUGCUCGAGUGGCGAACGGGUGAGUAACACGUGAGUAACCUGCCCUUGACUUUGGUAUAACUUCAGGAAACUGGGGCUAAUACCGUAUAGGAGCUCCUGCUGCAUGGUGGGGGUUGGAAAGUUUCGGCGGUUGGGGAUGGACUCGCGGCUUAUCAGCUUGUUGGUGGGGUAGUGGCUUACCAAGGCUUUGACGGGUAGCCGGCCUGAGAGGGUGACCGGCCACAAGAGGACUGAGAUACGGCCCAGACUCCUACGGGAGGCAGCAGGGGGGAAUAUUGCACAAUGGGCGGAAGCGUGAUGCAGAAACGCCGCGUGCGGGAUGACGGCCUUCGGGUUGUAAACCGCUUUCGCCUGUGACGAAGCGUGAGUGACGGUAAUGGGUAAAGAAGCACCGGCUAACUACGUG
rnacentral:rRNA from 1 species